rnacentral:rRNA from 1 species
GAUGAACGCUGGCGGCGUGCCUAACACAUGCAAGUCGAACGGAGAUUACGGACGGAAGUUUUCGGAUGGAAGCCUGUAAUUCUUAGUGGCGGACGGGUGAGUAACGCGUGGGCAACCUGCCCUAUACAGGGGGAUAGCAGCUGGAAACGGCUGGUAAGACCGCAUAAGUCGGUUAAAUCGCAUGAUGUGAUCGGGAAAUGAGCAAUCAGGUAUAGGAUGGGCCCGCGUCCGAUUAGCCAGUUGGCAGGGUAAAAGCCUACCAAAGCGACGAUCGGUAGCCGGACUGAGAGGUCGGACGGCCACAUUGGGACUGCGACACGGCCCACACUCCUACGGGAGGCAGCAGUGGGGGAUAUUGCACUAUGGAGGAAUCUCUGAUGCAGCGACGCCGCGUGAGUGAAGAAGUAUUUCGGUAUGUCAAGCUCUAUCAGCAGGGAAGAUGAUGACGGUACCUGACUAAGAAGCCCCGGCUAACUACGUG